rnacentral:rRNA from 47 species
UGGACCUCAGAUCAGGCAAGAUUACCCGCUGAGUUUAAGCAUAUCACUAAGCGGAGGAAAAGAAACUAACU